rnacentral:lncRNA from 7 species
AUGGGUCUCUAUGGGUCUCUAUGUGUCCCUAUGUGUCUCUAUGGGUCUCUAUGUGUCUCUAUGGGUCCCUAUGUGUCCCUAUGGGUCUCUAUGUGUCCCUAUGUGUCUCUAUGUGUCUCUAUGGGUCCCUAUGUGUCCCUAUGUGUCCCUAUGUGUCUCUAUGUGUCCCUAUGUGUCUGUAUGUGUCCCUAUGUGUCCCUAUGGGUCCCUGUGUGUCUCUAUGUGUCCCUAUGUGUCUCUAUGGGGCUCUAUGUGUCCCUAUGUGUCUCUAUGGGGCCCUAUGUGUCCCUAUGGGUCCCUAUGUGUCCCUAUGUGUCCCUAUGUGUCUCUAUGUGUCUCUAUGGGUCCCUAUGUGUCCCUACGUGUCCCUAUGUGUCUCUAUGUGUCCCUAUGUGUCUGUAUGUGUCCCUAUGUGUCCCCAUGGGUCCCUGUGUGUCUCUAUGUGUCCCUAUGUGUCUCUAUGGGGCUCUAUGUGUCCCUAUGUGUCUCUAUGGGGCCCUAUGUGUCCCUAUGGGUCCCUAUGGGUCCCUAUGUGUCUCUAUGUGUCUCUGUGCGUCUCUAUGGGUCCCUAUGUGUCCCUAUAGGUCUCUGUGUGUCCCUAUGUGUCCCUAUGGGUCUCUGUGUGUCCCUAUGUGUCCCUAUGGGUCCCUAUGUUUCCCUAUGGGUCCCUAUGUGUCCCUAUGUGUCUCCAUGGCGUCCCUAUGGGUCCCUAUGUGUCUCUAUGGGUCUCUAUGUGUCCCUAUGUGUCUGUAUGUGUCCCUAUGGGUCCCUAUGGGUCUCUGUGUGUCUCUAUGUGUCUGUAUGUGUCCCUAUGUGUCUCUAUGUGUCUCUGUGCGUCUCUAUGGGUCUCUAUGUGUCCCUAUGUGUCUCCAUGGCAUCCCUAUGUGUCUCCAUGGCAUCCCUAUGGGUCCCUAUGGGUCGCUAUGGGUCCCUAUGGGUCGCAAUGUGUCGGUAUGUGUCCCCAUGGUGGCUGUGUGUCUCUAUGUGUCCCUAUGUGUCUCUAUGUGUCUCCAUGGGGUCUCUAUGUGUCCCUACGUGUCCCUAUGUGUCUCUAUGUGUCCCUAUGUGUCUCUAUGUGUCCCUACGUGUCUCCAUGGCAUCCCUAUGGGUCCCUAUGGGUCCCUACGGGUCCCUAUGGGUCUCUGUGGGUCGCUAUGGGUCGCUCUGUGUCCCCAUGUGUCGGUAUGUGUCCCCAUAGUGGCUGUGUGUCUCUAUGUGUCUCUAUGGGUCCCUAUGUGUCCCUAUGGGUCUCUGUGUGUCCCUAUGUGUCCCUAUGUGUCCCUAUGUGUCUCAGUGUGUCCCUAUGGGUCCCUAUGUGUCCCUAUGGGUCCCUAUGUGUCCCUAUGUGUCUCCAUGGCAUCCCUAUGUGUCUCCAUGGCAUCCCUAUGUGUCCCUAUGUGUCCCUACGUGUCUCCAUGGCAUCCCUAUGUGUCUCCAUGGGGUCCCUAUGGGUCUCUGUGGGUCCCUAUGGGUCUCUGUGGGUCGCUAUGGGUCGCACUGUGUCGGUGUGUGUCCCUAUGUGUCUCUAUGUGUCUCAGUGUGUCCCUAUGGGUCCCUAUGUGUCCCUAUGGGUCCCUAUGUGUCCCUAUGUGUCUCCAUGGCAUCCCUAUGUGUCUCCAUGGCAUCCCUAUGUGUCCCUAUGUGUCCCUACGUGUCUCCAUGGCAUCCCUAUGUGUCUCCAUGGGGUCCCUAUGGGUCUCUGUGGGUCCCUAUGGGUCUCUGUGGGUCGCUAUGGGUCGCACUGUGUCGGUGUGUGUCCCUAUGUGUCUCUAUGUGUCUCAGUGUGUCCCUAUGGGUCCCUAUGUGUCCCUAUGGGUCCCUAUGUGUCCCUAUGUGUCUCCAUGGCAUCCCUAUGUGUCUCCAUGGCAUCCCUAUGUGUCCCUAUGUGUCCCUACGUGUCUCCAUGGGGUCCCUAUGUGUCUCCAUGGGGUCCCUAUGGGUCUCUGUGGGUCCCUAUGGGUCUCUGUGGGUCGCUAUGGGUCGCACUGUGUCGGUGUGUGUCCCUAUGUGUCUCUAUGUGUCUCAGUGUGUCCCUAUGGGUCCCUAUGUGUCCCUAUGGGUCCCUAUGUGUCCCUAUGUGUCUCCAUGGCAUCCCUAUGUGUCUGCAUGGCAUCCCUAUGUGUCCCUAUGUGUCCCUACGUGUCUCCAUGGGGUCCCUAUGUGUCUCCAUGGGGUCCCUAUGGGUCGCUAUGGGUCGCUAUGGGUCGCAAUGUGUCGCUAUGGGUCGCAGUGUGUCGGUGCGUCCCCCCGGUGGCGGUGUGUCCCUAUGUGUCCCUAUGUGUCUCUAUGUGUCUCAGUGUGUCCCUAUGGGUCCCUAUGUGUCUCUAUGUGUCCCUAUGGGUCCCUUUGUGUCCCUAUGUGUCCCUACGUGUCUCCAUGGGGUCGCUAUGGGUCGCUAUGGGUCGCAAUGUGUCGGUAUUUGUCCCCCUGGUGGCUGUGUGUCUCUAUGUGUCCCUAUGUGUCCCUAUGGGUCCCUACGUGUCCCUGUGUGUCUCUAUGUGUCCCUAUGUGUCUCCAUGGCAUCCCUAUGGGUCCCUAUGUGUCGCUAUGGGUCCCUAUGUGUCCCUAUGGGUCUCUGUGGGUCGCUAUGGGUCCCUAUGGGUCCCUAUGUGUCUCUAUGUGUCUCUGUGCGUCUCUAUGGGUCCCUAUGUGUCUCUAUGGUUCUCUGUGUGUCUCUAUGUGUCCCUAUGUGUCCCUAUGUGUCUCCAUGGCAUCCCUAUGUGUCUCCAUGGCAUCCCUAUGUGUCUCCAUGGGGUCGCUAUGGGUCGCUAUGGGUCGCAAUGUGUCGCUAUGGGUCGCAGUGUGUCGGCGCGUCCCCCCGGUGGCGGUGUGCGGCAGUGCGCGGGGCUCACCCUGGUGGCGCGGCGGCGCUGUGUGCGCGCGGAGCAGAGCUGCUGCUGCCCUUUGAGCACCGCCGUCCCGGACUGCAGCACCUGCAGCUCUAUGCGGUUCACCGCCUCGCCCUGAAACAGCGCCACAGGCACUGCACUCCCAUUCCCACCAGUACGGACCAGUAUAAACCAGUAUACACCACUAUAAACCAGUAUGGACCAGUAUUCACCAGUACCGUCCAGUAUAGACCAGUAUACAGCAGUAUAAACCAGUAUGGACCAAUAUAAACCAGUAUACAGCAGUAUAAACCAGUAUGGACCAGUAUACACCAGUAUACACCAGUAUACACCAGUAUGAACCAGUAUGGACCAGUAUGCACCAGUAUACACCAGUAUGGACCUGUAUGCACCAGUAUACACCAGUAUACACCAGUAUGCACCAGUAUGCACCAGUAUACACCAGUAUACACCAGUAUGGACCAGUAUGCACCAGUAUACACCAGUAUACACCAGUAUAAACCAGUAUGGACCAGUAUACACCAGUAUACACCAGUUCCGACCAGUAUUCACCAGUAUACACCAGUAUACACCAGUUCCGACCAGUAUUCACCAGUAUACACCAGUAUACACCAGUAUAAACCAGUAUGGACCAGUAGGCACCAGUAUACACCAGUACCGACCAGUAUACACCAGUAUACACCAGUAUAAACCAGUAUAAACCAGUAUAAACCACUACCGACCAGUAUAAACCAGUACUGACCAGUAUAAACCAGUAUACACCAGUAUAAACCAGUACUGACCAGUAUAAACCAGUAUACACCAGUAUGAACCAGUACCGACCAGUAUAAACCAGUAUAAACCACUACCGACCACUAUACACCAGUGUUCACCAGUAUACACCAGUAAACACCGUUCCGACCAGUAUACACCAGUAUAAACCACUACCGACCAGUAUAGACCAGUAUACAGCAGUAUAAACCAGUAUGGACCAGUAUAAACCAGUAUAGACCGGUAUAAACCAGUAUGGACCAGUAUACACCAGUACUGAACACUAUACACCAGUAUAAACCAGUACCGACCAGUAUACACCAGUAUAAACCAGUAUGGACCAGUAUAAACCAGUAUACACCAGUAUAAACCAGUACUGACCAGUAUAAACCAGUAUAAACCAGUACCAACUAGUAUGGGUCAGUAUAAACCAGUAUGCACCAGUAUACACCACUAUAAACCAGUAGGGACCAGUAUAAACCAGUAUACACCAGUAUACACCAGUACUGACCAGUAGGCACCAGUAUACACCAGUACCGACCAGUAUACACCAGUAUACACCAGUAUACACCAGUAUAAACCAGUAUGGACCAAUAUACACCAGUAUACACCAGUACCGACCAGUAUACACCAGUAUACACCAGUAUACACCAGUAUAAACCAGUAUGGACCAGUAUGCACCAGUAUACACCAGUAUACACCAGUUCCGACCAGUAUACACCAGUAUACACCAGUAUACACCAGUAUACACCAGUAUAAACCAGCAUGGACCAGUAUACACCAGUAUACACCAGUUCCGACCAGUAUUCACCAGUAUACACCAGUAUACACCAGUACCGACCAGUAUACACCAGUAUACACCAGUAUACAGCAGUAUACACCAGUAUAAACCAGUAUGGACCAGUAUACACCAGUAUACACCAGUACUGACCAGUAUACACCAGUAUACACCAGUAUACACCAGUAUACACCAGUAUAAACCAGUAUAGGACCAGUAUACACCCAGUAAUACACCAGUACUGACCAGUAUACACCAGUAUACACCAGUAUACACCAGUAUAAACCAGUAUGCACCAGUAUACACCAGCAUACACCAGUUCCGACCAGUAUUCACCAGUAUACACCAGUAUACACCACUAUAAACCAGUAUGGACCAGUAUACACCAGUAUACACCAGUAUAAACCACUAUGGACCAGUAUAAACCAGUAUAGACCAGUAUAAACCAGUACUGACCAGUAUACACCAGUAUGCACCAGUACAGACCAGUACGGAUCAGUAUGCACCAGUAUGGACCAGUAUGGGCCAGUACGGACCAGUAUAAACCAGUAUGGACCAGUAUGCACCAGUACGGACCAGUAUGGAACUGUACAGACCAGCAGAGACCACUCCCUCCCAGUCCCUCCCAGUAUAUCCCAGUUCCCUCCCAGUUCCAUCCCAGUAUAUCCAGUCCUUCCCACUCCCUCCCAGUCCAUCCCAGUCCCUCCCAGUAUAUCCCAGUCCCUCCCAUUCCCUCCCAGUCCCCUCCCAGCUCCCUCCCAGUCCCUCCCAGUCCAUCCCAGUUCCCUCCCAGUCCCUUCCAGUUUCCUCCCACUCCCUCCCAGUCCAUCCCAGUAUAUCCCAGUCCCCACCACUCCCUCUCAUUCCUUCCCAUUCCCUCCCAGUAUAUCCCAGUUCCCUCCCACUCCCUCCCAGUCUCUCCCAGUCCCUCCCAGUUCCCUCCCAGUAUAUCCCAGUCCCCACCACUCCCUCCCAUUCCCCCCCAUUCCCUCCCAGUUCCCUCCCAGCCCCCCCACUCCCUCCCAGUCUCUCCCAGUCCAUCCCAGUCCCCUCCCAGUGCCCCCCACUCCCUCCCACUCCCUCCCAGUAUAUCCCAGUCCAUCCCAUUCCCUCCCAGCAUAUCCCACUCCCCCCCACUCCCCUCUACUCCCUCCCAGUUCCCUCCCAGUCCAUCCCAGUAUAUCCCACUCCCUCCCACUCCCUCCCAGUUCUCCCAGUCCAUCCCAGUGCCCCCCCUUCCCUCCCAGUCCCUCCCAGUUCCUCCCACUCCCUCCCAGUCCAUCCCAGUUUCCUCCCAGUCCAUCCCAGUCCCCCCUUCCCUCCCACUCCCCCCCAUUCCCUCCCAGUCCAUCCCAGUUCCCUCCCAUUCCCUCCCAGUAUAUCCCAGUCCCUCCCAGUCCCAUCCCAGUGCCCUCCCAGUCCCCCCAGUCCCUCCCAUUCCCUCCCAGUUCCUCCCAGUCCAUCCCAGUCCCCUCCAGUCCCUCCCAGCCCCCCCAUUCCCUCCCAGUUCCCUCCCAGUCCCCCCCACUCCCUCCCAGUCCAUCCCAUUCCCUCCCAGUAUAUCCCAGUCCCUCCCAGUUCCCCCCACUCCCCCCCAUUCCCUCCCCAUCCCCCCCACUCCCUCCCAGUCCAUCCCAGUUCCCUCCCAGUCCCUCCCAGUAUAUCCCAGUCCCCUCCCACUCCCCCCCCAUCCCUCCAGUCCCCCCAUCCCCCCAGUCCCUCCCAGUCCCUCCCAGUCUCCCAGUCCUCCAUUCCCCCUCCCAUCCCCUCCCAGCCCCCCCAUCCCCCUCCCAGUCCCUCCCAGUCCCCCCCACCCUCCCAGUCCAUCCCAUUCCCUCCCCAGUAUAUCCCAGUCCCUCCCAGUUCCCCCCCCCAUCCCCUCCCAUUCCCUCCCAGUCCCUCCCAGUCCCUCCCAGUUCCCUCCCAGUCCCUCCCAGUAUAUCCCAGUCCAUCCCAGUCCCCCCCAUUCCCUCCAGUCCUCCCAGUCCCUCCCAGUAUAUCCCAGUCCAUCCCAGUCCCUCCCAUCCCUCCCAUUCCCUCCCAGUCCCUCCCAGUAUAUCCCAGUCCCUCCCAGUUCCCCCCCAGGCCCCCCCAUUCCCCCUCCCAGUCCAUCCCAGUCCCUCCCAGUCCCUCCCAGUCCUCCCAGUAUAUCCCAUUCCCUCCCAGUCCCCAUCCCCCCAGUCCCUCCCAGUCCCUCCCAGUUCCCUCCCAGUCCCCCCCACUCCCUCCCAGUUCCCUCCCAGUCCUCCCAGUUAUCCCAGUCCAUCCCAGUCCCCCCACUCCCUCCCAGUCCCUCCCAGUAUAUCCCAGUCCCCCCAUUCCCUCCCAGUCCAUCCCAGUUCCCCCCACCCCUCCCAGUUCCUCCCAGUCCCUCCCAGUUCAUCCCAGUCCCUCCCAGUCCCUCCCAGUAUAUCCCAGUCCCUCCAGUUCCCCAGUCCCUCCCAGUCCCUCCCAGUAUAUCCCAGUCCCCCCACUCCCUCCAUUCCCUCCCAGUAUAUCCCAGUUCCCCCCACCCUCCCAGUUCCCCAUCCCCAGUCCCUCCCAGUCCCUCCCAGUCCCCUCCCCAGUCCUCCCAGUCCCCCCCCCUCCCAGUCCCUUCCAGUUCCCUCCCAGUUCCCCCCAUCCUCCCUCCCAGUCCCUCCCAUUCCCUCCAGUCCCCCAGUCCCUCCCAGUCUCCAUCCCUCCAGUUCCCUCCCAGUCCCCCCCAUUCCCUCCCAUCCCAUCCCAGCCCCCAGUCCCUCCCAUCCCUCCCAGUAUCCCAGUCCCUCCCAGUCCUCCCCCCCACUCCCUCCACCCUCCCAGUCCAUCCCAGUAUAUCCCAGUCCAUCCACCCCCCACUCCCUCCAGUCCCUCCCAGUAUAUCCUAGUCCCCCCAUUCCCUCCCAGUCCAUCCCAGUUUCCCUCCCAGUCCCUCCCAGUUCCUCCCCCUCCCUCCCAGUCAUCCCGUUUCCCUCCCAUUCCCUCCCGUAUAUCCCCAGUUCCCCGUCCAGUCCCCCAUUCCCUCUCAGUCCAUCCCAGUCCCUCCAGUCUCUCCAGUUCCCUCCCAGUUCCCCCCACUUCGCUCCCAGUUCCCUCCCAGUCCAUCCCCAGUAUAUCCCAGUCCAUCCAUUCCCCCCACUCCCUCCCAGUCCAUCCAUUCCCUCCCAGUAUAUCCCAGUCUCCCAGUUCUCCCCAUUCCCCCACUCCUCCCAGUCCAUCCCAUCCCUCGCCAGUAUAUCCCAGUCCCUCCAGUUCCCCCCCACUUUUCCCUUCCUCGGUAUCCCCCGCAUUCCCCCCUCCCCCCAACUCCAUCCCAGUCCCUCCCAGUUCCCCAUUCC